UACAGAGGUGGCAAGCGGUUGUUCGGAAAUUACUGGGCGUAAAGGGCGCGUUGAGGCGGCCUUCUAAGUCAGACGUGAAAUCCCCAGGCUUAACUUGGGAACUGACGUCUGAUACUGGAAGGCUUGAGUAUGGGAGAGGGAUGUAGAAUUCCAGGUGUAGCGGUGAAAUGCGUAGAUAAUCUGGAGGAAUACCGGUGGCGAAGGCGGCAAUCCUGGACCAUUACUGACGCUGAGGCGCGAAAGCUAGGG
rnacentral:rRNA from 1 species